rnacentral:rRNA from 1 species
CAGCCGCCACGGUAAUACGUAGGGUGCAAGCGUUAAUCGGAAUUACUGGGCGUAAAGCGUGCGCAGGCGGUUUUGUAAGACAGAGGUGAAAUCCCCGGGCUCAACCUGGGAACUGCCUUUGUGACUGCAAGGCUAGAGUACGGCAGAGGGGGAUGGAAUUCCGCGUGUAGCAGUGAAAUGCGUAGAUAUGCGGAGGAACACCGAUGGCGAAGGCAAUCCCCUGGGCCUGUACUGACGCUCAUGCACGAAAACGUGGGGAGCAAACAGGAUUAGAUACCCCGGUAGUCCCUGUCUCUUAUAC